AGAGUUUGAUUCUGGCUCAGGACGAACGCUGGCGGCGUGCUUAACACAUGCAAGUCGAACGAUGAAGCCUAGCUUGCUAGGUGGAUUAGUGGCGAACGGGUGAGUAAUACGUGAGUAACCUACCUUUAACUCUGGGAUAAGCCUGGGAAACUGGGUCUAAUACCGGAUACGACCAAUCUCCGCAUGGGGUGUUGGUGGAAAGCGUUAUGUAGUGGUUAUAGAUGGGCUCACGGCCUAUCAGCUUGUUGGUGAGGUAAUGGCUCACCAAGGCGACGACGGGUAGCCGGCCUGAGAGGGUGACCGGCCACACUGGGACUGAGACACGGCCCAGACUCCUACGGGAGGCAGCAGUGGGGAAUAUUGCACAAUGGGCGCAAGCCUGAUGCAGCGACGCCGCGUGAGGGAUGACGGCCUUCGGGUUGUAAACCUCUGUUAGCAGGGAAGAAGAGAGAUUGACGGUACCUGCAGAGAAAGCGCCGGCUAACUACGUGCCAGCAGCCGCGGUAAUACGUAGGGCGCGAGCGUUGUCCGGAAUUAUUGGGCGUAAAGAGCUUGUAGGCGGUUUGUCGCGUCUGCUGUGAAAGGCCGGGGCUUAACUCCGUGUAUUGCAGUGGGUACGGGCAGACUAGAGUGCAGUAGGGGAGACUGGAAUUCCUGGUGUAGCGGUGGAAUGCGCAGAUAUCAGGAGGAACACCGAUGGCGAAGGCAGGUCUCUGGGCUGUAACUGACGCUGAGAAGCGAAAGCAUGGGGAGCGAACAGGAUUAGAUACCCUGGUAGUCCAUGCCGUAAACGUUGGGCACUAGGUGUGGGGGACAUUCCACGUUUUCCGCGCCGUAGCUAACGCAUUAAGUGCCCCGCCUGGGGAGUACGGCCGCAAGGCUAAAACUCAAAG
rnacentral:rRNA from 1 species